GGGGUUGUAGCUUAGUGGUACAGCACUGGCCUGGAAUGUACAAGGCUCUGGGUUCAAUCCUCAACACCUCCA
rnacentral:tRNA from 1 species